rnacentral:rRNA from 1 species
CAAGGAAUUUUGCGCAAUGGGCGAAAGCCUGACGCAGCGACGCCGCGUGGGGGAUGACGGCCUUCGGGUUGUAAACCCCUUUUCUAGAGGAAGAAAUAUGACGGUACUCUAGGAAUAAGUCUUGGCUAACUACGUGCCAGCAGCCGCGGUAAUACGUAGAAGGCGAACGUUAUCCGGAUUUACUGGGCGUAAAGCGGGUGUAGACGGCUUUGUAAGUCAGUUGUGAAAUCUCCCGACUCAAUCGGGAGCGUGCAAUUGAUACUGGAGAGCUUGAGGGCAUCAGAAGAAAGCAGAAUUCACGGUGUAGCGGUGAAAUGCGUAGAUAUCGUGAGGAAUACCAGUGGCGACGGCGGCUUUCUAGGGUGCUCCUGACGUUGAGGCCCGAAAGUGUGGGGAGCGAAACG